rnacentral:rRNA from 1 species
CAGUCGCCGCGGUAAAACGAGGGGGGCAAGCGUUGUUCGGAUUUAUUGGGCGUAAAGGGAGCGUAGGCGGAUCGUUAAGUUGGGGGUGAAAGCCCGGGGCUCAACCUCGGAACUGCCUUCAAUACUGGCGAUCUUGAGUAUGAGAGAGGUGUGUGGAACUCCGAGUGUAGAGGUGAAAUUCGUAGAUAUUCGGAAGAACACCAGUGGCGAAGGCGACACACUGGCUCAUUACUGACGCUGAGGCUCGAAAGCGUGGGGAGCAAACAGGAUUAGAUACCCGUGUAGUCCCUGUCUCUUAUAC